UCACGGCCUCCCUGCUGUGCAGCUGGAGGAGGUCGGACCGCUAAGUCCAAUCCGGAAGUCGUAGGGAAGUGGGGAGGUCAGGACGGUGGCGCCCGCGGCUGGGGGUCCUCCUUGGGGCGGUGUGCGCGCGGCUUUCUCUUCCACCGUCCUGGACCUGCUCUGACUCCCGGCCCGAGGCUCCCCGCGUGGCCUCGCGUCUGGUCGCCGGCCCCUUGCAGCCAGCUCCGCCCAGCAUGGACCCGGAUCCGGGGCGCCUUAGUGGCGAUCUGCCAGGAGGGCCGUAAGGUGAGCUUUCUGCCCCUAAAUUGCAGUGCAAAUCUCGGGGCCCUGAACGUUACGACUUUCCACUGUUGGGAACGCCGCCAGGGCUUCGCCUAAGAAGACGCUGUACCCUAAAGAAUUUUGUUUUAUUUCGUUUUUCUAAGUUGACUCAUCUUUCUGAUUUGUGUUGUCAGAACACUGGGGGGAUGAUUGUUACUGGACAAACCGCCUAUGGCGGGACCUGAAGCCUCCCCGCCACCUCGGGAACGGAUAGGAGCAGAGGCUGGCGCCGCCGGUGCAGUGGGCAUCACAGCAGCCAAAGAAUUUAGAGCAAGUCCACGUGGACAUGCAGGUCUCCACGAGCGUGGAUUUCCUGCGAGGCCGAUCGCGAAGAAGUGCUGGCCCAGAGGCUCGGGUGUCUCCCCCGGCACGCGGCCGGCUGAGAAGGCCGCGGCGCUCGCCAGGAGCGGGGACGUCCUCGGUGUCGCGGGGACCGAAGGAGGCGGCGCAGGCCCGGAGACGUGCGCGCGGGCGGCGAGGGGGCGCUGUGGCCCGUGCCUGUCGGCCGGAGUCCCACCAACGAUGGGCGCGACCCACCUCCUCCCACGGCGGCUUAAUUAGGGAAACUAGAAAAAAAAAAAAAAAAAAAACGCGUCCAGGCAUUUCAAUAAAACCUAACCGGCUCCGGAUCCUUUCUCAUUGUGGUUCCUUAUGAGCUCUGGUGUUUGGGGGGAAAAACAGUUACCAUUCCGGG
rnacentral:lncRNA from 1 species